AAACACUCAUACGGAUGCCUAGGGAUACUAGUAAGUAGGUAAGAAAGGAAAGCUAUUGUUUUCUCAUUCUCUCAUCCGUGAAAGUGAAAAGUGAUAUGGAUAUGAAUCUUCAUAGGUUGUCUUUAAAAAACUCGCUAUGGUAAGUAUUAAACAAACAUCUUCAAGUUUAAAUGUAUUUAAAUAAAGUAAGGGCUUCAUUAGUAGUUUUUCUAAUUUUUAA
rnacentral:lncRNA from 1 species